GAAUCACAGUAGGACAAAUUGUGACUGGCGUAUUUCUCUGAUCCUCUGACUGUGACGCCGCGGCCUGACUCCGCCCUCUACUGGCUUUUUCUCCUGAAGCCUGAGGUGGCGGAAGAUCCUUCCACUCCAGACCAGAACCAUCUUCGGACUGAAACCGUCUCUUCCAGAACCGGCCCAGUUAGAACCACCAUGUGAUAGGCAGAAAUGGACGGGCGAUAAAUUCUGAGCAGCCUGGAGACAGAAGUUUGGUGCCGUGACCCGGAUCCCUCGACUGGACAUCCGAGGACGUCGACGAACAGCGUUUGGCCGACCUGGACUAAACUCCAGCCUCAAACCUCGAUUUAAGAGAGGAGGGCUGUUGGUCGGCUCCACGGCUCCAGCGCUGGGAUCAACGAACUCAAAACCAGUUAUCAGGUGGGAAACUCACUCAGGCUAACAAAUUAAUUUUACAAAUUCUAAAUAAUUAAAUCUAAAAUAGUGAAGGAUCCGAUAAACCUUUCACCCUGGGGAAUAGAGAUUGAUGGUUGUUAAAGUUGGGUUAAAGUCCCAAAGGAAAAUAAUAAAAAAUGAAAUAAAAAUAUAUAAAAUAAACAGAAAAAAUAAUAAAAAACAUAAGUGGGGGGUGAAUCUCCCCCCGACAGCCGGUUUUAGGGCGAGGCAAAUAAAGAAAAAAAGGGAACCACGGGUUUCUAGGCUGAGGGUCCUAGUUAAAGACCUUAUCGGUGAAUAAGGCAGGUAUUUUCUUGAGUUUUGGUUUUCUAAAUUAGGGGAACUAAACCUUUAGAGAAUCCUAAAGACCUUUAUCGGAAAUAAAGACCUUCUUAAAGGAGUAAGAGGCAGAGCGACCACAAAGCUGAUUUGUUGGAUUCUGCGAAGACGUUUGCAGUCUAAAGAGGAAAUCCCACCCAAUUCAAGAAGAACGGGUCUGCAUGGUUCCAGGACGCAAUCUCCUCCUCAGGGUGAAAUGUUUGACUAUAUGAUAAUGAAAUAUUGAAAAAGAAAAGCAGGGGAACAAAUAAAGAAUAAAAAUGCUGAAUAUAAAAUCUUUCUUACUAAAUUACAGGCCUUAACAUUUUAAACAAAAUGUGUCUUUUUCUCUUUGAAUAAACAAAUUUAUUUCAUUAUUUUAAAUUAUAAUUAUUUUAUUUCUUAAAAGGAUCAAUCAUUAAUUUUAUUUAUAAGGGACCUUGUCUUACUACCAGCAGCUCAAAGAACUGAACAAACAAUUUCCCUCAGGUUUCUCUGAUGAUCAUGCAAAAGGUUAAAAUAAGUUUCAUAAAUACAUAUGUAUAAAAAAACAAGGAAAACUACAAAACAAGCCCUAAUCGAUUUCUACUUGUUUCUUCUCUUUCCCUCUGUCUGAGCCUUGCUGCAGUGCAUCUGACCUCUGACCUCAACUCCUCAAACCUGUCCUCCAUGGACCGGAUGAUGUCCCUCCUACAAAACCAGCUGAUGAAAGAGACCG